rnacentral:rRNA from 1 species
GACGAACGCUGGCGGCGUGCCUAAUACAUGCAAGUAGAACGCACAGGAUGCACCGUAGUUUACUACACCGUAUUCUGUGAGUUGCGAACGGGUGAGUAACGCGUAGGUAACCUGCCUGGUAGCGGGGGAUAACUAUUGGAAACGAUAGCUAAUACCGCAUAAGAACAUUUACUGCAUGGUAGAUGUUUAAAAGGUGCAAAUGCAUCACUACCAGAUGGACCUGCGUUGUAUUAGCUAGUAGGUGAGGUAACGGCUCACCUAGGCGACGAUACAUAGCCGACCUGAGAGGGUGAUCGGCCACACUGGGACUGAGACACGGCCCAGACUCCUACGGGAGGCAGCAGUAGGGAAUCUUCGGCAAUGGGGGGAACCCUGACCGAGCAAACGCCGCGUGAGUGAAAGAAAGGGUUUUUCGGGAUUCGUAAAAGGCUCUGUUGUUAAAGGAAGAAACG